AACGAACGCUGGCGGCGCGCCUAAUACAUGCAAGUCGAGCGAGAAGACGUAGCAAUACGUUUGUAAAGCGGCGAACGGGUGAGGAAUACAUGGGUAACCUACCCUCGAGUGGGGAAGUAACUAGCCGAAGGUUAGCUAUACCGCGUACGCUCCUUGGACUUCGGUUCAGGGAGGAAAGACGAUACCGUGGGUAUCGCGCUCUUGGAUGGGCUCAUGUCCUAUCAGCUUGUUGGUGAGGAACGGCUCACC
rnacentral:rRNA from 1 species